CAGCAAGAACGUGCAGGCAGCGCCGGAUGCUGCAGUGCUCUGCAGCCGCAUGCAGGCUGCGCGUCUCAAGGGCAGAGAGAAGAGGCCACCUCCAAUGGCCUCAGCAUUGCCAGCUCCUCAGAAGGAGCCAGGGCCCAGCUUUCUGCAAAGUAGCCACUGCAAAGGCCAUGAGACCAGGCUGGCUCCCCCAGGUCUUCAAAAGCAGCAGCCGAGUCUCCAGGUCAGGUCUGCUUCCUAUUGGGUGGGCCGCCCUGGCUGGGAGCAACUGCAGGUACCACCGAGGGGCAGAAGUAGUGACCAAGACCUCCCAGGCCUCCUGUGUCCACCUGGGCAGAGGACAUCGGGGAAGAGGCCCCAGGCAGGAGCACAGUGGCAAGGUCUCUGGCUGUCCCUCCUGAGGCAGCUGAGUCUGAGUCCCCUCCCCUGGGGCCACAGACCUGGCUUGGGGCAGGAGCAGGUGCCCAUGCGCGUGUGGAGGACAGAGCCUGCAAUGAGUGGGACAGUGGCUCGGAGUAUUUUUAACUGCAGGGAGAGGAGACGGCAGCUGUCCCAGAGCCUGUCCUGAGGGGGCUCCAGGGGACUUCACAAAGUUGAAGGACACCCAGGACACGUGUGCCGUGGGGGCCUUGAUCCCCUGGCAGGCCCAUGUGCCCUUGGUCAUGCCCAGAUAUGGCCACGGGCUGUGUCUCCCCAGCCACUCGCAGGCUACCACUGGUAUAAAUAGUCCACAUUCUCAGCUGUCCUGUCAGGAGGCUGAGCUGGGGUGACCCGGGGCCAGGAGGCCUACCCCUGGACCCCACCCAUCCCCAACAUGCCCUUGGCCAGCAGCUGCAUCAGCUGGGGCCUGGACAGGCUCUGAGCUCUGCCUUCACUUUUCUCACCUGCCCUUUCUGGGGCACCAAGUCCAGGCAGGACCUGGCAGCUUCCUGUUGCCCCUUCCCAGUGGCAGAGAUGGGUCUUGGUCCACCAGAGGAGAGCAGAGGGCAAGGAUCUCAACCUGGGGGCAGAUGCAGGGGACUGGCUGGUCCUGCUGCCUCGGCUCAGUCCUGUGGCAGGUGGAGGCUAAUCUGAGCGUCCUCUGUCCCCCUGACCCCCUGUCUGACCCUGGCUCUCCCUCCUGCCCUGAAUAGAGCAGUGCCCUGGUCCGUGCCCCUGCCAGGGGACUUGCUUCCCCUCCCUUUGACCCAGGAAGCGUCUCUCAGGUGGAAUUUGAAACACCUUGAGAGGCCCGUGGAGCAAAUGUCCUUUAGUGAGGGCAGGAAGAUCAUCCAGUGCCCCUGAAACAUAGGCUGCCCCUCCUGUGCCUGAGGACAAACAGUGCCAUGUCCAGUGAUGUCCCCACAUGCUGGGGACCUCUCCAAGCCAGAGGGAGAGCUGGGCACUCUGUGGCAGAAGCAAAAGUCUGAUGUGCCCAGACUGCAUCUGCCUGGCCUUCCAGGGCACCCGAGGCCUGUGGUGUCCAUACAGGACCCUCAGCUUGUC
rnacentral:lncRNA from 1 species